rnacentral:rRNA from 1 species
GGCGGCGUACCUAAUACAUGCAAGUAGAACGCUGAAGAGAGGAGCUUGCUCUUCUUGGAUGAGUUGCGAACGGGUGAGUAACGCGUAGGUAACCUGCCUUGUAGCGGGGGAUAACUAUUGGAAACGAUAGCUAAUACCGCAUAACAAUGGAUGACACAUGUCAUUUAUUUGAAAGGGGCAAUUGCUCCACUACAAGAUGGACCUGCGUUGUAUUAGCUAGUAGGUGAGGUAACGGCUCACCUAGGCGACGAUACAUAGCCGACCUGAGAGGGUGAUCGGCCACACUGGGACUGAGACACGGCCCAGACUCCUACGGGAGGCAGCAGUAGGGAAUCUUCGGCAAUGGGGGCAACCCUGACCGAGCAACGCCGCGUGAGUGAAGAAGGUUUUCGGAUCGUAAAGCUCUGUUGUAAGUCAAGAACGAGUGUGAGAGUGGAAAGUUCACACUGUGACGGUAGCUUACCAGAAAGGGACGGCUAACUACGUGCCAGCAGCCGCGGUAAUACGUAGGUCCCGAGCGUUGUCCGGAUUUAUUGGGCGUAAAGCGAGCGCAGGCGGUUUGAUAAGUCUGAAGUUAAAGGCUGUGGCUCAACCAUAGUUCGCUUUGGAAACUGUCAAACUUGAGUGCAGAAGGGGAGAGUGGAAUUCCAUGUGUAGCGGUGAAAUGCGUAGAUAUAUGGAGGAACACCGGUGGCGAAAGCGGCUCUCUGGUCUGUAACUGACGCUGAGGCUCGAAAGCGUGGGGAGCGAACAGGAUUAGAUACCCUGGUAGUCCACGCCGUAAACGAUGAGUGCUAGGUGUUGGAUCCUUUCCGGGAUUCAGUGCCGCAGCUAACGCAUUAAGCACUCCGCCUGGGGAGUACGACCGCAAGGUUGAAACUCAAAGGAAUUGACGGGGGCCCGCACAAGCGGUGGAGCAUGUGGUUUAAUUCGAAGCAACGCGAAGAACCUUACCAGGUCUUGACAUCCCGAUGCUAUUUCUAGAGAUAGAAAGUUACUUCGGUACAUCGGUGACAGGUGGUGCAUGGUUGUCGUCAGCUCGUGUCGUGAGAUGUUGGGUUAAGUCCCGCAACGAGCGCAACCCCUAUUGUUAGUUGCCAUCAUUCAGUUGGGCACUCUAGCGAGACUGCCGGUAAUAAACCGGAGGAAGGUGGGGAUGACGUCAAAUCAUCAUGCCCCUUAUGACCUGGGCUACACACGUGCUACAAUGGUUGGUACAACGAGUUGCGAGUCGGUGACGGCAAGCUAAUCUCUUAAAGCCAAUCUCAGUUCGGAUUGUAGGCUGCAACUCGCCUACAUGAAGUCGGAAUCGCUAGUAAUCGCGGAUCAGCACGCCGCGGUGAAUACGUUCCCGGGCCUUGUACACACCGCCCGUCA